ACGUAGGGUGCGAGCGUUAAUCGGAAUUACUGGGCGUAAAGCGUGCGCAGGCGGUUAUAUAAGUCGGGUGUGAAAUCCCCGGGCUCAACCUGGGAACUGCGUUUGAGACUGUAUGACUUGAGGAUUGGCGAGGGAGAUGGAAUUCCAUGUGUAGCGGUGAAAUGCGUAGAGAUGUGGAAGAACACCGAUGGCGAAGGCAGUUAUCUGGGCUACUACUGACGCUGAUGCACGAAAGCGUGGGGAGCAAACAG
rnacentral:rRNA from 1 species